UGCGGGAGCCCGGGAACCCGGAGAGACCCCCGACCGCGUCUCCUGCACUCGCCUGCGCUUUCCCUGUCGCUUCGCGGUUCAGGGAUCUGAGUCACCCCGCGACAGCCCCGCCAGGUCACCCCGGGGCGUGUAGGUGGGCACGCACAGGAAGAUCGCUAUUUUUAACAUUUCCAUAUUGUUUACCGUGGGAUGAAAUCCCACAAUUCCUUGCACAAAAUGCAUAAAUAAUAUUAAAUGAGCUGCCGAGAUACAAAGGGACUUUUGUGGUCCGCUUUCCUUGCUGAUGGAGAGGAAUAGUGUCACUCCCAUUUGACUCGGUAACCCGGCAGCUUCCUGUCUUAAACGCAGAGCUGGCGCGCAGGACACUCCUCCUGCAGACACUUAUUACACAAGUUCAGCUGCACCUCGUGCAAAACAGCCCUGAAAGCUCAGGCUUGAAGACGAAAUGUGGAGCCCAGGCUCCUUCGAUUGAAAACCUCGCUACGAGGACACUCUCCGCAGUCGCCGGCCAGAAAGGAUUUCGGAUCAAGAUCCGCAGAGUGGUGAGCAACUCCCAGGGUCCGAGGCUGAGCUGACUGCAGGCUGGUAGCCCUUCUGCCCGUAGGAGAAUCUCCUUUCUGCAGAAACUACUCCUGGAAAACAAAACCGAGUGAAAAGAAGGGCAAUGCGGGUCUGCGCGGAGGGGAGCUUCCUCCCCGGGGAAAGAGGCGCCUCGCGCUGGCUGACUCGCCGGUGGGGUGCAGGUAGGGGCAGACUAGGGUGAGAAGGGGGGAUCGCGGAACACGGGUCCCCCGCGGGUCCGAGGGACAGGGUGCAGGCGCAUUCCAGGCACCUACGGCAGUCCCAUCUGCUCUGAGGAGCGGGAGCCGGCCCCGGGCUCUCCACAUCUCCCGGGAAUCCAGAAGCUGGACUGCGGGGCAGUUGUAUCGGUGGGGGAGCCCCUAGCUGGAUUUUCCUUCCGCUUGCUCCCUUUAUCGAGUGUCCACGCCCGGCAGGAGCUGGCUGUGUGCCGCCAGGGGUGGGUGGAGGUGCGUGGGGCGCGGGCCUUGGCUCACUCACUUGGGUGUGUCCCAGUCUUUUUCCUCCAGAAUUAGAGGCCUCUGCAGGGGGCAGAGCCCCUCGCCCUCUCUCCUAACUCUCCUCCCCACCUCGACACGGCCUGAGCUAAGAUGUGGGGAGCUUCCAGGGCUGUAUCCCUAGGAGGCCCCGAGCACUUUUCCUCCGACGGUCGAGGAAAUCAGGUCCCUUCUCUCUCCCUAGCGCCCUCUGAGGAAGCCGCGAACCUCUGGGCGAGCAUGGUUUUACUGGGGAUUCCCAGAGACCGGCCCUGUGCCCAGCGACGCCCGGAGGGGAGAGGGAGCUCUUUGGAGGGGCGGUGUGGGGGUGGGUGUCUACACUGCGUCCUCUGGCUCGGAGCAGGACCCGGUGAUGCGCCCUGGCCGAGCUCCUGUCUCCUAGGGAUGGAGGGGACUCGGGCCCUGUCGGGACCCUUCGACAAGGAAGGCCCGGGGAAGCCUGGAUCCAACAGGCACCGGGAUCCAGGAGGCAGACUCCUUGGUUCCGAACGGUUCUUCCGGAGCGAAAACUUGCUCCCCGUUCCCCCAAGUCCCUCGCAGGCUGGGAGGUGAAGGGAGGGACAGAAGCUGGGCCUCCUCCGCAGCGCCCAACACCCUGGGCUCUCCGGGCCCCGGGACUCGGCUCGGGUGCGUGGAGGGACGGCCUGGAGCGCAGAUUUGUGAAUGAACCUCGGAGCUCUUUGCAGCUCACAGAUCAGAGGCUGCGAUCGCCCCACCGACGUGGUCCAAUGAGCCGCUGCAAUAAGCGCUUAGCGACGAAGCUGGGGCACGGCCUGGACUCUGCGGCUCCGCGCUGCGCGGGGCCGGACGGGGGAGGGGCCCAGCCACUGCAGCAACUUCAAAGCCGGUGUCGGGACUCAGCGAUGGGUGGGCUCUCCCCGGGCCGCACGGUUCGCAGGGGCCUCCCCUAACCCCCACCGCCACCCCGCCGAAACGCCCAGAGGCGUUCCCAGCCCAAGUGAUACGUGACUCUGACUCCCGGUUGUCUUCGCGCCCUCCGCUCGCGCGUCCUUGGCGUCUCCCCCGGGACCCGGGGGGCGAUCACAUCCUGAGACCUAAUCCGGUUACUUCCGGGCGCGGGUCUCCACCGCCUCCCGGGCUGGUUGGACUCACUUCCUAAGUAGCUGUCUCAUUGACAGCUCCCGCGCCGCCAGUUCCUCUUUCAAAAUUCAAGUCUUCGGCUGCCUCCCUGAGGUUCUGCGUGCGAAGGGAGGGGAGGGGAGGAAGGAGCAGACACCCACGUGUGCCCGGGAGGGACCCACACAGACUCCCCGCUCCCGCAGCAGAGGCCCUGGGCCCCCUCUUCAGAGGGAAAUCGAUGAGCAGACACUAAGCGACGCGAGUCCCGGCCCCUUCCCCGCCGGGGGAUCUCCGUGCGUUCCAGAAGCGCACCUGGAAGCAAUUCUCCUAGCGUAACCGUCGCCUCCUAAGCCUCUCCAGCAUCUUCACGUCUCCUAAGCAUCUGCACGUUUCUGCGCUGUUUUCUGGAGGACCUCGGAGAGGCGGAGGGGACGAUGGGGUGCCGUGGGGGCAGGGAAGGAGAGAGGUCAGGGGUUACGCAGGAUUACGGCUCGGCUCGGUGACCCCUCUCAUCUUCCGUGGCCCAGGGAGGGGAUCUGUAGCGAGGGGUCCGGACCUCUUUUGCAAAACCGAAUUCUAGGGUAGGGCUUGCGUCCCGUGAAGCACCGGUGAAGUCCAAAUGAAGAACGCCGGCGAGCGGCCGGGAGCGGAAGAGAGCAGGUUCUAGGCGCCCCGGAGGGAAGAGGGGCAUGCAUCCCCAGUGACCACGGCUCGAGGUGGCGUGUCUGCUCCGCACCCGACUACAACCAACCCGGCCUGCGCCCCUCCACGCUUGAACAGGGCGGGUCCACCCGGGCGGCGAGCUCCGCGGGCGCAGCGCAGCCUCAGCCCCGCGCCUCCCUCCCGCUUGCUGGGGAAGAGGUGGGAAGCCCUCUCCGCCGCACCCUGGCUCCCACCGCAGGCCUCCGUGAAUAAACUCUCUCAGGGGGACUGUACUGUCCCCCAUCCUCUGUCCCAGCCUCAAGAGGGACUUCCUGAAAAUAUGGCAGCCAAGAAUAGGGUGAAAAUGUGAGACUGAGGUUUCCUUCUCCACCUCCCCCUGCCCCCUGCCCCUUCACCUCCCCACUUCCCACCAGCCCAAAGGGGUCCAGCUGUAACCACCACCACCGCCACCGCCACCUCUACCGUGCUUACGACUGUCACCAUUUCCUUCCAGCUCCAGCUGUCUCUUGGACGCCUCCACUGGAAGGCCGACGGGCAUCUUCAAUUUCACGUGUUCACUUCAGAGCACCCCUGAGCCGGCUACCCCUGCUCCCCUGAUCUGCGCCUUCCCAGUUUCUCCCAGUCACCCAGCUGGCCACCGCGCAGGAGACAUCCCUGAUCCUUCAUUUUCUCUCUGGAGUCACCCCCUGUCAAUUAGCAAGGCCUGUUGGCUCUGCCUCCACAUCUGUUCCACAGCUCCCCCAAACUCCUCCGUCCUCCACUAGCCCCCAAGCCCUUUCCCCUGCGCCUGCAGGGUUGCAUGGCCUCUUAACCAGCUCUCCACCUCACACGUGUGCCCUGUGGUUCACUGUUCUCCAUACAACAGAGUAAGCUUCAGCUCAGACCUAUCCUUGGUCAAAACCAGUGGUUUCCACGUGCACUGAGAAUUAGACGCAUUCUUACAAUGUCCUUCAAGGCACCAUGAAAUCCACCCACCACUUCCCUUACCUGAGGUUCUAAGUCUAGUUUUGCCAGUUCUUGAGCCUCCAAGCCAUGGCCACCUCAGGGGAGUUCUUUUCCUUUGGUCCUGGCUCUUUAUUCAUCUGGUACAUUCUUUCUGUGCAUCUUUGGGCACAGACUGUCCCCCAGAGAAAGGUCAUACGAUCUAAAAUGACUCCCUAAUCCAGUUGUGUUCUCCACAGCACUUAUGGCUACUUGCGGUUGUAAAUGUGUUGGUGCGUUUUUUAUUGGUCUCUUAUCUAGAACGUACCUUCCAGAGGGCAGGGCCUUGUCAUCUUCCUGGCUGUACCCCCAGUCCUGCUAAGGGACUGGCAUACAGUAACAUGAAGCCAGUGCUCUCAGACUUUCUGGUCACAGGACUGCUUUAUGCUCUUAGAAAUUACUGAGCCCCCGAAAGAGCUUAUGUAUAUAGCAACAGAUAGAUUUAGACGUCUAACCAGUGAUUUGCACAGUAUUAGAGAUUGAAAUGGUAAUGUUUUAAAUAUAUUGAUUAAUUGAUUCAUUUACAAUGAUAAUAAAAACCCACUUCAUGUUUACUUAACAUAUUUUAAUGAACAUUUAUUCUAUUCCCCCAAGCAAAAAAAAAUAGUCUGAAGAGUGGUCUACAUUUUUGUACCGCUCUUUAAUAUCUGGCUUAAUUAAUAGAAGAUAGUUGGAUUCUCAUUUUUCCUUGUGCCACCCGUUAUUUUGGUUCAGGUAUAUGAAGAAAGUGCAGUCUGUCACAGAUACGUAGUUGAAAACUGGAGGAGUAUUUUUCAGCCUUGGCAGAUAAUUGUGGAUAUUUUUCCUUGAUAUUACCCCAAAAUUCAACAAAUGGUGGUUUCUUAAAGGUUGGUUGCAAUGUGGAAUCUGAAACCAUGUCAAUGAACAUUUCAUACUCUAUUACAUUAAAAUCCAUUGAUCUAUCUUG